UGGCUUCCAGAAUUCUGAAGUCAAUGAAACAAACCAACAAAAAAAAGCAUUAUUUUUGAAUUUUCCAAACGGAUGAAAUAAUAUCUAUAAUCACAUGAGAUGACCAACGAAAACUGUAAAACAUACAAUUGGGUCAGGUUAAUAAACUUCCCCAAUCCUUUGGGAAUGUCUCCUGAUAAUCGAUUCGCACAAACAGAGCUACAAAGAUAAAUUCAGGUAAAUUUAGAAGCAUUCCUCACUUUCUUCACAAGAAACUCGAGAUAAAAGACUUACAUAGAUGUGAGGUAAGGCAGUGAGGCCCAUUCCAUAGGUAUUGAGCCAUAAAGAUAAUUACGGCACAAGUCACUGCACAAACAAG